AGCGAACGCUGGCGGCAGGCUUAACACAUGCAAGUCGAGCGGGCACUUUCGGGUGUCAGCGGCGGACGGGUGAGUAACGCGUGGGAACGUGCCCUCUGGUUCGGAAUAACUCAGGGAAACUUGAGCUAAUACCGGAUACGCCCUUUUGGGGAAAGGCUUGCUGCCGGAGGGUCGGCCCGCGUCUGAUUAGCUAGUUGGGGAGGUAACGGCUCACCAAGGCGACGAUCAGUAGCUGGUCUGAGAGGAUGAGCAGCCACACUGGGACUGAGACACGGCCCAGACUCCUACGGGAGGCAGCAGUGGGGAAUAUUGGAAAAUGGGCGCAAGCCUGAUCCAGCCAUGCCGCGUGAGUGAUGAAGGCCUUAGGGUUGUAAAGCUCUUUUAUCCGGGACGAUAAUGACGGUACCGGAGGAAUAAGCCCCGGCUAACUUCGUG
rnacentral:rRNA from 1 species